AUUGUGUUCCCCUGUCCCCUCAGCAUUGCUCCUCUUCUUCUACUCCAUCAUGUCCCCCUGUCUUCCUCAUCAAUGCUUCCUUUUACCUGAUCCAUCAUGUUCCCCUGUCCUGCCCAGCAAUCCUCCCCUUCUCUGCCCUUAAUCAUUCUGGUAUUCUUACCUCUUACACGUCUUCUGUCCUUCCAGCAUUGCUCCUCUUAUCCUGGUCCUUCAUAUUCUCUGGCCCCCUCUUCCCCAGCAUUGCUCCCCUUUUCCUGACCCAUCCGGUUCCCCUGUCCUCCCCUCCACUUUCCCCCCGUGCAGCAUUGCUCCUAUUACCCUAGUCCACCAUGUUCUCAUGUCCUCCCCAGAAUUGCUUCCCUUCUCUUGGUCCAUCAUAUCCCACUUUCCUCCUGUGUUGUUCCCCUUCUCCUGGUCUAUCAUGUUCCCCUGUCCUCCCCAGUAUUGCUCACCUCUUAAUUGUUGAUACAUAUUACGGGGUUCCUGCCCCCAUUGAUUUCAAUUGGAGUAAGCAAAUGUUGCUCUGGGAUAGCUGUGGUUGGUUACCUGGAAUAAAUCAAAAUCAUCGAGAUUUACUGACACAAGGUAACGGGCUGAUUUGACAUAAAAUUGCAUUCUGUAUGAAGACCUUUGAGAAUUCUUGAGGGGUGUUCUUUUCUAUUUAUGAAUAUAUCUAUAGUUAGUUACGUAAACAAACUCAUGCAUGUUAUGUGUCAUGAUUCAUUCAUUAGAACAAUAAUUCCUGGAUUAGUUAAUUGAUUAUUGGCUAAUGGUGGCUGAGAAUGAUAAUGUAUGCACGCCUUUCUUGCACAGGGUAAUUAUCAUUACAUUGAAUUAGGAUACAGCUCCCUCCAAAGCCAGUUAGAUGUUGCCUACAGGCUGAGCUGGGUGUUACACUUUGCCCUCCAUCUGGGCAGAUCUGGACCCUGUUCUUGGCCAGCACCCAGUAAACACUUUACUGUACCCUCGAUAGAAGAAUAGGGAUGGUGUCCUGUGCCCACUGCAAACCUACUUCCUCUGGUACAGCAGUAGAAACCUCACCUUCCCUUCUUAUUAGUUGGUUUUUAGUUAAUAUUUUCACUAUACAGAACCCAGCACACUCUAAUAUAGAACCCUUUUCUUUUCCAGAAUGCACUAAGAACCUUGGGGAUUUGGUGCACAGCUCACAAGCAGUAACAUAGAG